rnacentral:rRNA from 1 species
CCUACGGGGCGCAGCAGUGGGGGAUAUUGGACAAUGGGGGGAACCCUGAUCCAGCGACGCCGCGUGAGUGAAGAAGUAUCUCGGUAUGUAAAGCUCUAUCAGCAGGGAAGAAAGAAAUGACGGUACCUGAGUAAGAAGCCCCGGCUAACUACGUGCCAGCAGCCGCGGUAAUACGUAGGGGGCAAGCGUUAUCCGGAAUUACUGGGCGUAAAGAGUUCGUAGGCGGUAUGUUAAGUCUGGUGUUAAAUGCAGAAGCUCAACUUCUGUUCGGCACUGGAUACUGGCAAACUAGAAUGCGGUAGAGG